rnacentral:rRNA from 1 species
UACGAAGGGGGGCUAGCGUUGCUCGGAAUCACUGGGCGUAAAGGGCGCGUAGGCGGCGUGUUAAGUCAGCUGUGAAAUCUCUGAGCUUAACUCAGAACGGCCAAGUGAUACUGCAGUGCUAGAGUGCAGAAAGGGCAAUCGGAAUUCUUGGUGUAGCGGUGAAAUGCGUAGAUAUCAAGAGGAACACCUGAGGCGAAGGCGGGUUGCUAGGCUGACACUGACGCUGAGGCGCGAAAGCCAGGGGAGCAAACGGG